rnacentral:sRNA from 1 species
UGAAAGGGAGCAUAUGAACUCUGCGGAGAU